UCCAGUGAUAAUGGCUUAGAGGCAACACCCGUUCCCAUUCCGAACACGAAGGUUAAGCUCUAAAGCGCUGAUGGUACUGCAGGGGUAGCCCGGUGGGAGAGUAAGUCGUCGCUGGGUA
rnacentral:rRNA from 1 species